UACGGAGGAUGCGAGCGUUAUCCGGAUUUAUUGGGUUUAAAGGGUGCGUAGGCGGGCUUUUAAGUCAGCGGUAAAAAUCCGGGGCUCAACCCCGUCCGGCCGUUGAAACUGGGGGUCUUGAGUGGGCGAGAAGAAGGCGGAAUGCGUGGUGUAGCGGUGAAAUGCAUAGAUAUCACGCAGAACCCCGAUUGCGAAGGCAGCCUUCCGGCGCCCUACUGACGCUGAGGCACGAAAGUGCGGGGAUCGAACAGG
rnacentral:rRNA from 1 species